rnacentral:rRNA from 1 species
CCUACGGGUGGCAGCAGUGAGGAAUAUUGGUCAAUGGACGAGAGUCUGAACCAGCCAAGUAGCGUGAAGGAUGACUGCCCUAUGGGUUGUAAACUUCUUUUAUAAAGGAAUAAAACGAGGCACGUGUGCCUUUUUGCAUGUACUUUAUGAAUAAGGAUCGGCUAACUCCGUGCCAGCAGCCGCGGUAAUACGGAGGAUCCGAGCGUUAUCCGGAUUUAUUGGGUUUAAAGGGAGCGUAGAUGGGUUGUUAAGUCAGUUGCGAAAGUUUGCGGCUCAACCGGAAAAUUGCAAUUGAUACUGGCAGUCUUGAGUACAGUUGAGGUAGGCGGAAUUCGUGGUGUAGCGGUGAAAUGCUUAGAUAUCACGAAGAACCCCGAUUGCGAAGGCAGCUUACUAAACUGUGACUGACAUUGAUGCUCGAAAGUGUGGGUAUCAAACAGGAUUAGAUACCCUGGUAGUC